GCUGGCGGCGUGCCUAAUACAUGCAAGUCGAGCGAAUGGAUUAAGAGCUUGCUCUUAUGAAGUUAGCGGCGGACGGGUGAGUAACACGUGGGUAACCUGCCCAUAAGACUGGGAUAACUCCGGGAAACCGGGGCUAAUACCGGAUAACAUUUUGAACUGCAUGGUUCGAAAUUGAAAGGCGGCUUCGGCUGUCACUUAUGGAUGGACCCGCGUCGCAUUAGCUAGUUGGUGAGGUAACGGCUCACCAAGGCAACGAUGCGUAGCC
rnacentral:rRNA from 6 species